rnacentral:rRNA from 1 species
AUCAACUUUCGAUGGUAGGAUAGAGGCCUACCAUGGUGGUAACGGGUAACGGGGUGUUAGGGCACGACACCGGAGAGGGAGCCUGAGAAACGACUACCACAUCCAAGGAUGGCAGCAGGCGCGCAAAUUACCCAAUCCCGACACGGGGAGGUAGUGACAAUAAAUAACAAUACGGGGUUCUUUCGGAUUUCGUAAUUGGAAUGAGUACAAUUUAAAUCUCUUAACGAGGAACAAUUGGAGGGCAAGUCUGGUGCCAGCAGCCGCGGUAAUUCCAGCUCCAAUAGCGUAUAUUAAAGUUGUUGCAGUUAAAAAGCUCGUAGUUGAAUUUCGGGGUCAGUAGAUUGGUCGUGCCACUGGUAUGCACUGGUCUCACUGGCUCCUCCUUCCUGAUGAACCGUAAUGCCAUUAAUUUGGUGUUGCGGGGAGACUGGACUGUUACUUUGAAAAAAUUAGAGUGUUUAAAGCAGGCUAACGCUUGAAUACAUUAGCAUGGAAUAAUGAAAUAGGACGUUCGAUCUUAUUUUGUUGGUUUCUAAGAUUGACGUAAUGAUUAAUAGGGAUAGUUGGGGGCAUUAGUAUUCAAUUGUCAGAGGUGAAAUUCUUGGAUUUAUUGAAGACUAACUACUGCGAAAGCAUUUGCCAAGGAUGUUUUCAUUAAUCAAGAACGAAAGUUAGGGGAUCGAAGACGAUCAGAUACCGUCGUAGUCUUAACCAUAAACUAUGCCGACUAGGGAUCGGAUGAUGUUAAUUUUUUAAUGACUCAUUCGGCGCCUUACGGGAAACCAAAGUGUUUGGGUUC